UUUCUGGAAAAAGUUGAACCUUCCAUUUUUACUGGAAUUGUUUAAUGGAAAAGGUCGUAAUCUGUGUGCUUUCCUUCCAGUACAUUUGAGGAUGAGUUCAAAGAUGUUAUUCCAGCGAUUAAAACAUCCAUUAAUGGAAGCUGGCUAGUCGGAAGACUCUGCGCUGGAAACAAAAAUGGGCUUCUCUUGCCUUACACCAUUACCCCUCAAGGACACUGAAGAGAUGAUUGCUGAUGUUCUUGGUGUUGAAGUUUUUCGGCAAACUAUCGCUGGGAAUGUUGUUGUUGGCAGCUAGUGUUCUUUCUCCAAUAAGGGGGGCUUGGUAAUUAACUAGUACAAUUUUCUUCAAUGGAGAGAAAGAAGCAGGGAUGGGGAAAUGUGGUUAUUGCUUGUUGACAGGUUGGGGGCAACAAGACACAGAAAUAUGUUAUUCUUCUUCCUGAUUUUGGUGAAACUCUGUUUUGAACAACAGGUCCAUCGUCAUAUAUCUGAACAAGAGAUGCAUAAGCUUGCAAUUCUUCUUCAGGUUCCUCCAUGUGAGUCAAUUCGAGUUCAUGUCUAAAUAAAUAAUAAAUAUUAGUAGUAAUAUUCGUAGUAGUUUCUUGUGUUACAAUAAUAUUUUCUGCUACUUUUAAGAGAGAGAUAUAUAGAGUUGUCAACUAUACAUUGAUCGUAUUCCGAAAAGGUAGCAUUCAGGUGAAAUU